rnacentral:lncRNA from 10 species
CAGCCCCCAGGUGGCUCGACAAUGCCAAGAUCACCUGUGCAACCAGCCCAGGUCUUGCUGGACCUACCUCCAGAACAUCCAGAACUGGUCCCUUUUCUCCACCGUCAUAGCCACCCCUUAAUUCCAAGCACCAGCUCUCAUUUGAAUUCCAGCAGUGGCUUCCUAACCACUCAUUGGAGAGUGAUUCCAUCCUCGACCCACUGAGGUUUAUUCUCCACAUCUCAGCCAGAGAGAGUUUUUAGAAACUCAAGUCAGACUGUGUUGCCUGCCUGCUUAAAGCCCUCCAGAGGCUUUCUGAUUUCCUGAGAAUAAAACCCAAACCAACCAGGCCAUGAUCUGGUUCUUGGCUUCUCCCCAGGCCUCUUCUGUCCCUGUCUCCCUUCCAUGAAGCUCCAGUCACACAGUUCUUCCCUGAGUUCCUCCACCACAAGCUCUUUCCUACCCCAGGACCUUUGCACAUGCAACUUCUCCCCUGCCUCCCUUUCCUGGAGGCUGGUUCAUUUCUUCCCUCAGGUUUCAGUUUGUCAUUUCCUCACAGAAGUCCUGCCUGACCAGUAGACAAGACUCGCUGCUGCGAGCUAUCAUAAAAUCUUGUUCUUUUCUCUGCAGAACUCAUCACAAUUUGUAACAACCAAUUAUUUCUGUAUGUGUGUUUUUGUCUCUAAUAGGGCAGGAAUCUUGUCUAUUUUGUUGGGCCCUGUAUCCACCUAACACCCUGGCUGGCCCUCAAUAACUCAUCUGUUAACGAGUGAAUAGAAGAAUUAAUUGGUGGGAGGCUAUGUUUCCUUAAGGAUUUUCUUUCUGUUCUCAUAUGCCAUCCAGUCUCCCUUAGGUAGAGGGGAGCCGGAAAUGGGGCUCUGCGUGGGGGCAAGGGUGAUCAUGGUCUCUUAGGGCAGGGCUGGGGUCGCCAAAGUGCAUUUAUUUCUUCAAAAGGUAUUUACUGGGGUCCUAACAUGGGGCUCCAGGAAACAGACGGUUCCCUGCUCAGAUUCUUCUCCUACAUUACCGGAUUCCUCUUGAAGGCUCGAUCCCUCCAGUGACCUCCCACCUCAGUGCCCCAGACUGACCUACCUGGGCCUCCCCCAGCCCAAGCUCAAUGGCU